rnacentral:rRNA from 1 species
AAAGAAACUAACUAGGAUUCCCUUAGUAACGGCGAGUGAACUGGGAAGAGCUCAAAUUUUAAAUCACUUUGGUGAAUUGUAAUUUGAAGAAAGUGCUUUUGACUUUUCGGUUUAUUCUAAAUCCUUUGGGAUGAGGUAUCAUAGAGGGUGAGAAUCCCGUUCAUGAUUAAACCUUGAAAAUGCACUAGAUUCACUUUCUAAGAGUCGAGUUGUUUGGGAUUGCAGCUCAAAAUGGGUGGUAAAUUUCACCUAAGGCUAAAUAUAUGCAAGAGACCGAUAGCGAACAAGUACCGUGAGGGAAAGAUGAAAAGAACUUUGAAAAGAGAGUUAAACAGUACGUGAAAUUGUUGAAAGGGAAACGAUUAAAGUCAGUCAUGCCUGUGAGUAAUCAACUUGGUGGUUUUACUUCCUUGUGUACUUUCUCACUUGGCAGGUUAACAUCAAUUUUGGUUGUCAUCAAAUAAUUGGGGAAAUGUGGCUUCUCUUCGGAAAAGUGUUUAUAGUCCCUGAUUAAUGUGGUAACCGGGAUUGAGGAUUGCAGUGAAUGCCUUUUUGGCUAGUCACCUAUCUUCUGACUAUCGUCUUGCUUUUUUCAGCUUGCUGAUGAUUGUGAGAUUUGGUGGUUUAGAUGUUAGAGUGUACAUAAAUUCACUAAGGAUGUU